GGGUUUGAAAUUAGUUACAAUUAUAUUGUAAUAGUGUUUACAGCUUGAAUGAAAAUAUAUUACAUGACUUUGAGUGCAAAUUCAGUUCUUAAUUAAGAAACCUCAAAAGUUUGUAGUGCAAAAUCAAUACUAUUAGAUGCCAAUGUAUUAUCAGUCAUCGUUAGGCUGAUUAAUGGUGACCACAAACGGAAUACAGCCUUGAAAAUAUUUCAGUCUCCCCAUAAAAUUAUUGCAGGAUUUGAAAUUAGUUACAAUUAUCAAGCCAGCGAUAGAUGUAUCCAUUUGUAAAAGCAUCACCAAUAAAUUCCAAGCAAAUGGGAAUAACGUAGAAAGAACCUGAUUGUCAAAUG
rnacentral:misc_RNA from 1 species